UACUCAGGCCACGCCCCCUUUGAUGGCUUUUGAACCGUUUAAGGUAGAGUCUUGUGUGAGGUAUCAUUGAACUCAGCAGAGAGUUCCAUUUUUUAUUGGUGAUGAUUUACAGUGUCUGAGUGCCGCGCAAAUGCACGGUCGCAAGGAGAGGCGUCCGCCAGUAACCCCGACGUACAAGGAGGUGUGAGGGCCCGUCCAACUCUGCUUGCAGCUUUAAUUAUGCUUUUUCUGUUGUAAAUGUUGGAAGAAAAUGACAAAAGACAAAGUGAACUGUGGAGGACUGACCAGUUUAUUGAGACGCAGGAUGUGACUAGUUUAGCUUUGAGACUUUUACAGGAUACAUUGGAAGGUUUCUGAGCACAUUACACCACUGACACAUUAUUCAUUCAUGUCUUUGUUUCUACUCGGUUGGACACUUUUAAACA